GCUGAGCACUCCUACGGGAGGCAGCAGUGGGGAAUAUUGCACAAUGGGCGCAAGCCUGAUGCAGCCAUGCCGCGUGUAUGAAGAAGGCCUUCGGGUUGUAAAGUACUUUCAGCAGUGAGGAAGGUGGGUAUGUUAAUAGCAUACUCAUUUGACGUUAGCUGCAGAAGAAGCACCGGCUAACUCCGUGCCAGCAGCCGCGGUAAUACGGAGGGUGCGAGCGUUAAUCGGAAUUACUGGGCGUAAAGCGCAUGCAGGUGGUUUGUUAAGUCAGAUGUGAAAGCCCGGGGCUCAACCUCGGAAUUGCAUUUGAAACUGGCAAACUAGAGUACUGUAGAGGGGGUAGAAUUUCAGGUGUAGCGGUGAAAAUGCGUAGAGAUCUGAAGGAAUACCGGUGGCGAAGGCGGCCCCCUGGACAGAUACUGACACUCAGAUGCGAAAGCGUGGGGAGCAAACAGGAUUAGAUACCCUGGUAG
rnacentral:rRNA from 1 species